rnacentral:rRNA from 1 species
CAGCCGCCGCGGUAAUACCGGCGGCCCGAGUGGCGGUCACUAUUAUUGGGCUUAAAGCGUCCGUAGCCGGGUUGGGAAGUCCUCCGGGAAAUCUGGCCGCUUAACGGUCAGAAUGCCGGAGGAUACUCCCAGCCUAGGGAGCGGGAGAGGCCGAGGGGAUUCCCGGACUAGGGGUGAAAUCCUAUAAACCCGGGAGGACCACCUGUGGCGAAGGCGCUCGGCUGGAACGCGUCCGACGGUGAGGGACGAAGGCCAGGGGAGCAAACCGGAUUAGAUACCCGGGUAGUCCUGGCUGUAAACGAUGCGGACUUUGUGUCGGACAAGCUAUGAGCUUGUCCGGUGCCGGAGGGAAACCGUUAAGUCCGCCGCCUGGGGAGUACGGCCGCAAGGCUGAAACUUAAAGGAAUUGGCGGG